rnacentral:tRNA from 1 species
GCUUGUAAAGCUAAAAAUUAGCGUCGGUCUUGUAAACCGAAGGUUGGGCUCUUCCCUACAUGCU